UGGCUAUAUGGCUUUCCAUCACAUAUAUAUAAUGAAUUAUUAUUUUGACCCAGGAAGUAAUUUUUGUCUCCUUCCCUGUCUUUGUUCACCCUUAUUGUGUCCUCCCCUGUCUGAAAUUUCUCUCAUUUUUCUCUUAGAGAGGUUUCAUCUGACUACUGCAGCUGCUAUAUUUUGUUCCUUCUAUUUAUGUUUCUUGAUUUGAAUUCAUCUGAUGCCCAAGAACCAUUUAUUUUGCAUAUAUCUUUGUGCCUGUCUCUAAAAUUGUUCUAUUAAGUCCCUCUGUAUUACUUUCAGAUUGCUUCCUAUUUCCUAUAGAAAAUAUCACCUUGCCUACGUCUGAGAAAAAAUUUGUCUCUUUUCUCACAGUUCAAUUCUGCUCAUCUUGAUGAACUCUGAUUAGACUUUUCUCUAAGUAGCACCUUUCUACUUUCUUCCAUACUAACCUCCAAGUUUUGCAUGGACAGCUGCAAACCUAGCAUUAAGUAAUUUAUUUUCAUCUACCAAAUCCUGAAAUACUUUUGUCCUAAUCCUGAAGGACCAGUCAUGCAUCACUAAUUAGUUUUUUCUUCCUGUUUUAGGGAAAAGAAUUCUCCUUGGCUGUACUGCUUUUCAUUUGUGCCAAGUUUAGUGUUUGCAAUCUUUCAAAACAUUCGUGUAAGGAAGCAGUAUGGUUUGAAUUGCCAGAUUAUGAAAAAAUAAAAACAACAUACUUGUGUGCACAUAGCAUUUCCAAAAGAAGACAAUUUAGUGAAAUGAAGAUGUAGUUUAAGCAGCAUUAAGCAAGUCAGUUCUCUUUUAACAGGACUCUUGGUUCCUUAAAAAUUUCAGUUCUUAAAAUAAGAGUAAAAGCAGCUCAAACUUAAUCUCAAAACCAGUAGUCCCCAGUAAACUCAUCACAGCUACACUGACAAUGUAUCACUAGUUCAAACAGUGAUUAAGAGGCAGCUUUUUUUUUCCAGAGAGAUGGAUGAGACAAAUUCCAAAUUCUCUCAAUGUAGCUUAUUUAGGAAACAUGAAAGUGUGAGCUGAGCAACUUCACUGUGGAGUAUGAUGCUUGCUGUUAAGAUGAUGUAAUGGCAGGAAAAUUGCUCUGAUUUCCCUGUAGCUGUAGUAGUACAGUCUGUACAGCUGAUUUCCAGGUUGUCAACUUUAAUGAAGUUGAAAACAUGCUGACAAUUCGGUAAUGUUUUCUUUUCAGCUGUGCAAAUGCUGCGGCAACAGAUUACAGCAGGAUUGUAAGUACUUAACAAGAGCAUUACAAAAGAAAAUAAUAAUUGGGAUGAGAGAUGAAAAGAGAAAAAACAUGGAAAUAAAUUAAUGUAAUGAAAGAAAACUUUCAUUACUCUAAGAUUUAUAAGUACAAUAGCAGAAAAAGUAGCCCAUGGUGUAUUCCCCUUAGUGUUUCAUGUACCAGUUUUAAAGCUAUCUUUCUGCAUUUUUUUGCAUUAGGAAAUAAAAAAGAAGCAAACAAAUGAAUUUCUGCUAAUUGUAACUGUUAAACAGAAUGACAUACCAAACAUUUCAGUGAAUGCAUUUUGAAUAAAUGUCAUUAUUCUGAAUUUCAGCAUAGCCGAUAGUUGGCUAAUUUUCUGGGAAUUAUGUAUGCCUUGGAGAUCUACAAGUUUGUCUUGAGGUCAGAAGUUAUCAUCAUCCAAGCACAAACAUCAGCGUUGAUUUGCAGUAGAUUUUUAAAGCAAAAUUUAGUUAAAUCAAUUUCUAGUUUCAUGGAGGUAUUUUCAUUUCAGAAGGCUGAAUAAAAAGUUCAGUGCAGGACUCAAAAACACAUCUACACACAAAGAUUUUGGAAAUAGCUGCAGAAAUUGUGUGAAUUUGUGUCUGUUUGUGCAUAUGUAUGUGUGUUGUGGGAGAGUCAAUUCAUGAAAGUAUUGCAAAUGAUCUGUCUAUCAAGAACUCAUGUCUCACCUCAGUGCUGUCCAAUACUCAUUCAGUUGUACAGAUCUUUUGAAGGUUCACAAAAUGAAAAAACUUACCCUGAGCAUGGAUAUAGAUUCAGUGCCUCUCUUCUAGCUCCUGGAAUAAUAAAUAAAGUAGAUUUUGUCUAUAAGAAAACUUAGAAUAUCUACACCAGUUAACCAAUACCUGUUUUCUUGGUCCCUUGAUGAUGCUACUGAUGAUGUAGCAGGGACAGAUACCUUCUCUCAGACCUUCCUAGACUACCUCUACCAUUGUGGAUCUGCUUUGAAGAUAGAAAGCAUGCUUGGAAGCAGCUGAGUAGUCCAACAAAGAAUAUGUGGCAUUAUUUUCCACGUGCAGAAGAUAGCUUUCAUUCCAAUUAAUAAAAUAAAUGGCCUACAAAAAAUUAGUUUUGCCUUUGUCUAAACUUCUCAAAAGAGCUGCCACCCUGCACCUAAGCAGUUUCUACAAGGACCCAAAAAAAAACAGAGCAGCUGUCCAGCUAUGUAUGCAUCACAUUAGCAGGUUUAAUCAGGUUCUACAUCAACUGUACAAUGGCAAGUGCAGCAGAAUCCUCCAUUUCUAGGCAGUUGCAGUGUAAUGAAUGAUGAAGUAACUGGUUGUACAUAUUUCAAAAUGUCCCAGAUGUCUAUCAAUGACACCAAAAUGGAAUUAAAACAAUUUUUAAAAAUUCAGACCUAUUUUAAAAAAUAGGGAAGAUGUUGUAACAAAAAAUGUUUUCUAAAAUGAAAAGAAUGGUCAAUUUGGAACAUAAGCGCAAGAAGAAUACCAUACAGAAGGCUCUUGAUAAAUGGUGUUUAUAUGAAUGCUAACUGAGUUUUCUAUGCUGCAUUUCCCAUUUUCCAUUUUAAGAGUGUUAAUUGUAAAGUAUAUUUACAGCAGAAAGCUAAAUAUUAUCCUUCCAUCCAACCAAGCUACUACGCAAGUCACCAUGCAAGGAGAGUUUAAACUUCUGGCUGUGAUCAUUUGCCAUGAAUUAUACACAUCCAUACUAUCUGACGCCCUGUAAACAACUAUUUUAAAAACAACAUCAGCAGUAAAUACAUUUAAUUACCAGAAGACCUACUACAAUUACUUUGCUUAGUGUCAAAGAGUUUGAUUUGCAAAGGAAACAGUUGGUACUUAUCUGUAAAUCUGUUUAGCGGGAACAGGCAGGCCACCAUUUCAAGACUUGUUCAGUGGUUUGAUAUCCAACUUAUUUAACCACUUGGGAUAUUUUGGCAGGGAGAAGAGAGCUUUCCUGGACUUUCUGAAUCAUCCAUCCACACGGCAAACACAGGUGAAUGUGGGACAUGUUGGUUCAAUGCCACCAUGCCAUCAGCCACUGGAGGAGCAGCUCCCAUAAUCUCUGCUCUCCCAUAAUCUCUGCAGCAGCCCAUGGUCUGGAGCCCAGCUCCAGUGAGGAAGAUCUACAGCCUCCAUUGUGCCCAGUGUCACCUCACAACCAUCCUUAAUCACCCAGUCUCCCCUCUUCCCUUGGUGAAAGGGAAGAUACUUUGGGUAAGGGUACAGAGGCAAGCUUUGUACUUAGUCUGCUGGAUUUACAGUGCAAUGCCACAUUUACUCUGGCCUGUGCAUCUGCAAGUUGUAAUAUAAUUGGAAGAAAAUAAUUGUUAUUUUAGGAGUAAUCCAAGAGCCUGCUUACAAAUGCAUCAUGUUCAGAUGCUCUGAAAUUAGUACCUCCUGAUACUCUGCCCUUGAAUACAUUUUCAAGCAAUGGCUCCUCACUAGUUUAUACAUGAUUAUUCUACAGUUUAUAGAGCCUUUGGAGAACUCAUUUUUUAAAGGGCUUAGGCAUAUUGGAGAACUCAUUUUUUAAAGGGCUUAGGCAUGCCUCAGUAGGAAAGAGCUGCCAUGUCAUGUUGCAGCUCAAGUUCAAGUAACACAAAUCAGUCAGGAUUCUGACCAAGUAGACCUCUGUCAUAUUCCUUGGCUCUGAAUGAGUUCUGAAUUUUCUGAACAAAGACUACAUAGUUGUGAUCUACUUUUACUUCUGCCUGCUUAUGAAAACUUCUGAAUUUGUUUUAAAUAAACUGGCCUGUUGGAAGAGAUCACAGUUUUACUAGAUUCCUGUCAAGUAGAUAGGUGGGGUUUGGGUCGGAGGCAUUUCUAGAUAGACAGCUGAGUAGGACUGAAAAGAAAUUGAGGGAGUGGCUAAUACCACCCUUCCAUUUGGCAUCUGCACUGAAGAGAGACACUAAAACUAAGUUUCAUCAUUUCUCAGAGAGCAAUGAUCAACUCCCUGGGUGUCUGAGACACUAGACAUUACGUAGUGCCUGAAAGAUACCGCUAGAGACUGUUUCUGUGGCAGAUCUCUGGAUCUGGACACUGUGUUGUGAUAAGCACAAGAGUGGUAAGCACUCAUUGUAAAAUACAUUAUGUAAGUUUUUUUAUAUUUCCAACAUUUGCAUGUUUAUUUCAAUAAAAUAUUAUUGAGGACAUUGUUUCCCAGUGAUGAUUUGAUUCCUCACACCAACAGUAUGACAAGAUGCUUAUAGAAACCCUCAGAUCAGAAUAGUUUUGCUGUCUGCCAUCAUCCAUAUUUCUCUUUCAGUUGUAGUGUUUCUACAUUCCUCUGUUCCACUGAACAUGCUUUUUUAAUUGUACCUAGCCACUUCCUCAGUGUCUUAUUCUGAAUUCUAUUCUGUUGUUUGGUUAACCUGAUCCAAAAAAGGAUAUUACAAAAAAGAAAAAGAAAAAACCUAAACAAAUGUAGAUACUCCCCAUGGAUACCUCCUUUAUUUUUCUGAGAUUUGAGGUCAGAUUGUUAUUGUUUGUCAUCUUUGUCUUCCUAGGUAUUUACAUUUAUUCCCAGUACCUACAUAUCUCAACAGUAUUUAUGCUAUCAAUCCCAUUGCUGCAUGGGAGAUAAAAAACUCCCCUAGUGCUUCAAUUUGUGGAGCACAAAAGUUGUUUUCCAGCCCCAAACAACAGUUCAGUCUGUGUAUCAAUCUCUAGUUUUAGGAGCUCUGUUCCAGUCCUGAGUUUCAGCCAAGAGACAGUUACAACCUUUUAAGAAGAAGUUAAAGCUUCUCACUUUAGAUUAUUCACUAAGUUGUUAAAUGAUAUCAGUCCGCAGAAUCACCAUGAGCCUUUGGGUCUGAAUGAGGUACAUCCAUAUUUACUAUUACCCUUUGAUUAUGGCAUUGCAGUCAGCUUUCAAUCUGCAUGACAAGUUUCCCUUUCCAACUCAAUUUGAAUUAAUUUUGAGAUUACAAUUUUGUGCGACACUAUAAUUAAAGGUGUGAGUGCAAUCCAAACACAGACAUCUUCUACAGAUUUUCCUUCACUCAUGAAUGUUGCAAUUCUAUUUUUAAAAGCAGUUAAUGACUGUGGCAGAGUGAAUUCCUUCCAAACUAAGUUUGCUUGUAGCUUGUCUCUUUUUUAUAAAAGAAGAAGGCGGGAGCCAGACCCAGCAAGUAUAAGCAAAAGACAUUAAGGGUGCCCUGCAAAAUAGUCUAAUCAGCCCUUUGUACCUUGUGUAUUAGGCACAAAUAAAAGGAUCUGCUCCUGUUGGUCUUCUUGUACCUUCUUUGGGGGUUUUGAUGUAUUUUAUCUAAAUUCCAUCAAAAAAUCUUAAUCCUGAUCCCUAAUGUUUUUGGGUUUUUUUAAGAGCUAAAAGUACCUUAUCAGCUCUUCCCUUGCUUUUCUCUAACAAUCACACAGUUACAAAGGGAAUGAGACAUGCAGCAGAGGGAUUAACUACUUUGACCUGAGGGAAAAAGCUGUAGCAUUACAGGUGAGAUUGUAAUACCUGUCUCUUCUCAAAAGAGAUAUCAUGUCUGCUCACCUUCCUGAUUACAUCUGAUAGCUUCACAUUAUUCAGAGGAUCAGUAAUUCCUGGGAUUCUCCCCCUGUCACCUUUUCCUUUCCCCAUCUCGUUCUUCAUAAGGUAUAUUCCCAUACACAGGAUUAACCCAGAAAAUAUAUUCUGUCAAUAGCCUCAAUCAAGGUGUCCUUUACAGCUGAGAAUAGUGCUAAAGACCAUGAUCUGAAAUUAUGGUUAUAAACAAAAUCAAGGCAAAUCAUGAUUGGAUCAGAGUUUUCACAGAAAAAAUUGACAUUGCAGGCCAUAUUUAUAAUUUUAAUUAAAGAAACUUAAUGCCUACUAUUACUAAGGCUCUUUGUCAGAUCUGCCAGUUUCUUGUUAUAUCAUUCAUUCUUUAUAACUAAGAAAAUAUUGAAUCUGUGAAAAUGUGAUCUUAAGACAUAAAAAGUGCAUAGCACUGAGUACAGAAACAUUCUACUUACUGAUCAAAAAUGCCAUA
rnacentral:lncRNA from 1 species